GGGCUUGUGGUCUAGUGGUAUGAUUCUUCCUUAGCACUGAUGAGGCUUUUCUACGAAAGAGGUUUAACCUCUACAUCGUGAGACCACAUCGUGAACUUGGAAGAGGUCCGGGGUUCAAUUCCCCGCGAGUCCA